GCGAACGCUGGCGGCAGGCCUAACACAUGCAAGUCGAACGAACCUUUCGGGGUUAGUGGCGGACGGGUGAGUAACACGUGGGAACGUGCCUUUAGGUUCGGAAUAACUCAGGGAAACUUGUGCUAAUACCGAAUGUGCCCUUCGGGGGAAAGAUUAAUCGCCUUUAGAGCGGCCCGCGUCUGAUUAGCUAGUUGGUUGAGGUAAUGGCUCACCAAGGCGACGAUCAGUAGCUGGUCUGAGAGGAUGAUCAGCCACAUUGGGACUGAGACACGGCCCAAACUCCUACGGGAGGCAGCAGUGGGGAAUCUUGCGCAAUGGGCGAAAGCCUGACGCAGCCAUGCCGCGUGAAUGAUGAAGGUCUUAGGAUUGUAAAAUUCUUUCACCGGGGACGAUAAUGACGGUACCCGGAGAAGAGGCCCCGGCUAACUUCGUG
rnacentral:rRNA from 1 species